AUGGCCGCUGGCGGCGCCGCCGACGGCAAGUACAACUCGUACAAGGCGCCGGGGCUGCGGGGCGCGAUACUGGAGGCGGCGCACGCCUCGUGCCUCGGCGACCGGUACGCGCUGGGCGAGCAGCUCGGGUGGGGCCAGUUCGGGGUCAUCCGGUCCUGCUCCGACAUGGUCACCGGCGAGGCGCUGGCCUGCAAGUCCAUCGCCAAGGACCGGCUCACGUCCCCCGACGACGUGCGGGGGGUCCGGCUCGAGAUCGAGGUCAUGGCGCGCCUCUCGGGCCACCCCAACGUCGUCGACCUCAAGGCCGUGUACGAGGACCAGGACUCGGUGCACCUCGUCAUGGAGCUCUGCGCCGGCGGGGAGCUCUUCCACCGCCUCCAGGAGCGCGGCUGCUUCCCGGAGCACGAGGCCGCCGCGCUCUUCAGGUACCUCAUGGAGGUCGUCACGCACUGCCACAGCAAGGGGAUCGUGCACCGGGACCUCAAGCCCGAGAACAUCCUCCUCGUCAGCAGGUCGCCCUCCUCGCCCAUCAAGCUCGCCGACUUUGGCCUCGCCACCUACACCCAGCCUGGUCAAAGACUGAGCGGCACGGUGGGGAGCCCGUUUUACAUUGCGCCGGAGGUGCUCGCCGGCGGGUACAACGAGGCUGCCGACGUGUGGAGCGCCGGGGUUAUACUCUACAUCCUUCUCAGUGGCAUCCCGCCGUUCUGGGGGAAGACCAAGUCGAAGAUCUUCGAGUGUAUCAGGUCGACGGAGCUGCGGUUCCCUUCCGAUCCCUGGGACAGGGUUUCGGAUUCGGCCAAGGAGCUCAUCACCGGCAUGCUGCAGCGUGAUCCUGGACAGAGGCUCACGGCCGAGCAAGUUCUAGAGCAUUCCUGGAUACGGGAACACGCCGAUGAUUCGCGCGAUUCCUGCGGCGGUUGCCUUGAGAUCGGCCUCGGGAGGGAGGAGCCAGGCUUGUGCUCAUUCUCCACGCCGAUGGCGACACGCAGCCGCGACGUGAGCUUCAGCACCGGCGGGCCGAUCGCCUGCCAGGGUCUGUCGGAGGAACCCUGCUCUCCCACAUUCUCCUGCAGAUCGUCCUUCUCCGCGUUCUCCGCCGCCAGGGCUCCAGCUCCGUCUUGCGGAGCCUUGUUAUUCUCAUUCGGCGACAGCCCCGAACCCAUGAAGGAUGCUGCGCCCGUCGUGUCGAUGCCGAGCUUCUCGUUCUUCUGUUGGAUAGGGUCCGACGAGCCCGAGCCACCGGCGGCUUCAGGCGACGACACCACGAAGGAGAAGGAAGCUCAUUGUGUCGAAGACGCCACGGCGGUGGGCCUCACCGCCGCCUCCUCCUCGGCUCUGACGAGGAUGGCGGAGGCGGCCCUGAGAGGGGCGACGGCGACGACAAGGGCGAACCCGUCGUCACGCAGCAGCAGGCGGAACCACACCAUCGGCGCCGGCGAGCGGGAGCACCAGCACGACCUGGACAUGGCGGUCGCCGAGUCGGUGAUCCGGUGGGCGUCGUGCACCAACCUGUCCACCACCCUCUCCCUCCGCGCCUCGCUCGUGUGCUAG
rnacentral:rRNA from 1 species